GGAUGCGAUCAUACCAGCACUAAUGCAACGGAUUCCAUCAGAACUCCGAAGUUAAGCAUGCUUGGGCGAGAGUAGUACUAGGAUGGGUGACCCCUUGAGAAGUCCUAGUGUUGCAUCUC
rfam:Capsicum annuum cultivar Zunla-1 unplaced genomic scaffold scaffold15288, whole genome shotgun sequence